CCUACGGGAGGCAGCAGUAGGGAAUCUUCCACAAUGGGCGAAAGCCUGAUGCAGCAACGCCGCGUGGGUGAAGAAGGUCUUCGGAUCGUAAAACCCUGUUGUUAGAGAAGAAAGUGCGUGAGAGUAACUGUUCACGUUUCGACGGUAUCUAACCAGAAAGCCACGGCUAACUACGUGCCAGCAGCCGCGGUAAUACGUAGGUGGCAAGCGUUAUCCGGAUUUAUUGGGCGUAAAGGGAACGCAGGCGGUCUUUUAAGUCUGAUGUGAAAGCCUUCGGCUUAACCGGGGUAGUGCAUUGGAAACUGGGAGACUUGAGUGCAGAAGAGGAGAGUGGAACUCCAUGUGUAGCGGUGAAAUGCGUAGAUAUCUGGAAGAACACCAGUGGCGAAGGCGGCUCUCUGGUCUGUAACUGACGCUGAGGUUCGAAAGCGUGGGUAGCAAACAGGAUUAGAUACCCGUGUAGUC
rnacentral:rRNA from 1 species